AUUCUUAUUUCUUAUUCCCCCUUUCUUAAGAGUUAGCUAGGGUUUGUGAUUCCACUACCUUGCUCUUUUCUUCUAUUCUAUUUGGAACCCCGCCGGACUCUCCAAAUAUUCCUAACUUGUUCUUCCUCCAUUUCCAUUUCUUCAAUCGUCUACAUUUGGAUAUCGCCCCUCCCUGCAUUAUACGACAUAGUGUCGAUUGCAAUCUUAAUCUCGAUCUCCUCUGUUCGUUUCCGACAGUAACCGCAUCCGGACUUCGGUUAGGUAAAUCUUUGGUAUCAUCUAUCCUUUUCUGUCUUAGCUCAGAAUUAAUCGCUCUUUUGUGACUUAAAUAAUUACUCUACUACCUGGUUGCGUCGAAAUCUGUAAUCAUUGAGAGUCUAAAGACCCAAUUUUCAUUAAACGAUUUUAUGCCGUUUGUUUAAUUCUGUAGAUGUAACUUUAGUUUUUUAUAAUCUUGGAUGACCAAAAUCGUGCUUCAAUUUUUGCUACUCAACAUGUGUAUUCUUUUCCCCUCUCUAGAAUGUGCUUCACAGGCAAUAUCCCAAGCCUCCCAUCGGGAUAAAUCUGACCCCUUCCCCGAUUCCCACCUACAUAUAUGGGAUAUUUUAAGAAAUGAACAUCUUUCUUCACAGCGGGGUCCGGAGAAAGGAUAGGGAAGACAAUUUCACUAAAAUAAAAUAAAAUAUUACAGGGUUUUUUUUUAAUAUUACAGGGUUUUUUUAACAAAAAUAAAAUAAAAUAUUAUUUUUGGGUUUUUUUAUAAAUGUUAUUCGAAUCGAAUUCGGAUAUCCGAAUUCGGAUAUUUUUAAUCGAA
rnacentral:lncRNA from 1 species